UCCAUCGUCGGCGCCGGCUGGCACGCCCAGUACACCGUGUCAGCCUGUGGUGGUCAGAUUACUGAGCCAGGCAUCAUACAGUCACCCAGUCAUCCGACGGAGUAUCACCGCAGCGCCAACUGUACGUGGUCCGUCACGGCGCCAGCUGGGCAGGUGGUGCUCGUGCGGUUUGUCUACAUGGACCUAGAGGGUGGCA